UACGUAGGGUGCAAGCGUUGUCCGGAAUUAUUGGGCGUAAAGAGCUCGUAGGCGGCUAGUCACGUCGGAUGUGAAAACCCGAGGCUCAACCUCGGGCCUGCAUUCGAUACGGGCUGGCUAGAGUACUGCAGGGGAGACUGGAAUUCCUGGUGUAGCGGUGAAAUGCGCAGAUAUCAGGAGGAACACCGGUGGCGAAGGCGGGUCUCUGGGCAGUAACUGACGCUGAGGAGCGAAGGCGUGGGGAGCGAACAGG
rnacentral:rRNA from 1 species